UACAGAGGGUGCAAGCGUUACUCGGAAUUACUGGGCGUAAGGCGUGCGUAGGUGGUGAGUUAAGUCUGUCGUGAAAGCCCCGGGCUCAACCUGGGAAUGGCGAUGGAUACUGGCUCGCUAGAGUGCGGUAGAGGAGAGUGGAAUUCCCGGUGUAGCAGUGAAAUGCGUAGAGAUCGGGAGGAACAUCAGUUGCGAAGGCGGCUCUCUGGACCAGCACUGACACUGAGGCACGAAAGCGUGGGGAGCAAACAGG
rnacentral:rRNA from 1 species